rnacentral:rRNA from 1 species
GACGAUCCGUAGCGGGUCUGAGAGGAUGAUCCGCCACACUGGGACUGAGACACGGCCCAGAUUCCUACGGGAGGCAGCAGUGGGGAAUUUUGGACAAUGGGCGCAAGCCUGAUCCAGCCAUGCCGCGUGAGUGAAGAAGGCCUUCGGGUUGUAAAGCUCUUUCGGCCGGGAAGAAAUCGUGGUCUCUAACAUAGGCCAUGGAUGACGGUACCGGACUAAGAAGCACCGGCUAACUACGUGCCAGCAGCCGCGGUAAUACGUAGGGUGCGAGCGUUAAUCGGAAUUACUGGGCGUAAAACGUGCGCAGGCGGUUUGCUAAGACAGGUGUGAAAUCCCCGGGCUUAACCUGGGAACUGCGCUUGUGACUGGCAGGCUAGAGUACGGCAGAGGGGGGUGGAAUUCCUGGUGUAGCAGUGAAAUGCGUAGAGAUCAGGAGGAACACCGAUGGCGAAGGCAGCCCCCUGGGCCUGUACUGACGCUCAUGCACGAAAGCGUGGGGAGCAAACAGGAUUAGAUACCCUGGUAGUCCACGCCCUAAACGAUGUCGACUAGUCGUUCGGAGCAGCAA